AUGAAAGUAGGAGGGGUUAAAAUAAUGAACCUGAAACGCUGGCUUCAAACUAACUGUGUUUCAGCCUGACCCAGAUCCUCUCAUGCAAGAGAAAAAGAGAAGCGCCCGAUAAAAAGGAAGAUUUACAUUCAGCUUAGAAUUUGUGACACGGCUUAGAUUAUAAUUAGAAUCUUUUAAGGUAUUGAUAUACUGCAUAGAAUGGCUACAUGUUUAUAUGGCUCUUAAUUUACAGCAAGGAUUUUAAAUGCCUCCUUUGUCUCUGCAGAAAAUUAUUGUAAGGCUGUCCUGUCUUUUCUUUGUUUUUUUAUGUUGCAGACAUUAGUGAAGUUUGGCUUCAGAAUAUUCUGGCAACCCUUCCAGCUCUUUCUCUGACUUUCUAAUUACAUAUUUGGUUUCCAGAUACGCUGGCAAAUUAUAUGCAUGAGGAAAAUCAUAGUGUGGAAAGUAUAUACAUUUCAACUUCUCAUAUGUCAGAGCCAAAACAAAAUCUUUUGAUCUUUUGAGGGGAGGACAAUAAAGAGAACUUCCUUCACUCCAUCUACAAAAAGGACAUUAUUGUAAAACUAAGGGGUCUUCUUUCACUGCUUUAGUGGUUCCUGGCACUGUCCUUUUGGGAUGUACCUCCAAGAGGCAGGAUGCAAGCUUGGCACUGAUUUUUUUUACUGCCUUUCUGGUGGGCAUGCGAUCUCUCCUUAAAUGUGGAUGAUUUCCU